UAGUAACACGUGGGGAACCUGCCCCAUAGUCUGGGAUACCACUUGGAAACAGGUGCUAAUACCGGAUAAGAAAGCGGAUCGCAUGAUCAGCUUUUAAAAGGCGGCGUAAGCUGUCGCUAUGGGAUGGCCCCGCGGUGCAUUAGCUAGUUGGUAAGGUAACGGCUUACCAAGGCAACGAUGCGUAGCCGACCUGAGAGGGUGAUCGGCCACACUGGAACUGAGACACGGUCCAGACUCCUACGGGAGGCAGCAGCA
rnacentral:rRNA from 1 species